CCUAAGGGGUGCAGCAGUGGGGAAUAUUGGACAAUGGGCGAAAGCCUGAUCCAGCCAUGCCGCGUGUGUGAAGAAGGCCUUCGGGUUGUAAAGCACUUUCAGUGGGGAAGAAAGCCUUGGGGCUAAUACCCUCGAGGAAGGACAUCACCCACAGAAGAAGCACCGGCUAACUCCGUGCCAGCAGCCGCGGUAAUACGGAGGGUGCGAGCGUUAAUCGGAAUUACUGGGCGUAAAGCGCGCGUAGGCGGUCUGAUAAGCCGGUUGUGAAAGCCCCGGGCUCAACCUGGGAACGGCAUCCGGAACUGUCAGGCUAGAGUGCAGGAGAGGAAGGUAGAAUUCCCGGUGUAGCGGUGAAAUGCGUAGAGAUCGGGAGGAAUACCAGUGGCGAAGGCGGCCUUCUGGACUGACACUGACGCUGAGGUGCGAAAGCGUGGGUAGCAAACAGGAUUAGAUACCCCAGUAGUC
rnacentral:rRNA from 1 species